AACGAACGCUGGCGGCAGGCCUAACACAUGCAAGUCGAGCGAAGCCUUCGGGCUUAGCGGCGGACGGGUGAGUAACGCGUGGGAACGUGCCCUUUGGUACGGAUGAGCCCCGGGAAACUGGGAGUAAUACCGUAGGUGGUCGAGAGACGAAAGAUUUAUCGCCAAAGGAUCGGCCCGCGUUGGAUUAGGUAUUUGGUGGGGUAAUGGCCUACCAAGCCGACGAUCCAUAGCUGGUUUGAGAGGAUGAUCAGCCACACUGCGACUGAGGACACGGCCCAGACUCCUACGGGAGGCAGCAGUGGGGAAUCUUAGACAAUGGGGGAAACCCUGAUCUAGCCAUGCCGCGUGAUCGAUGAAGGCCUUAGGGUUGUAAAGAUCUUUCAGUGGGGAAGAUAAUGACUGUACCCACAGAAGAAGCCCCGGCUAACUCCGUGCCAGCAGCCGCAGUAAAAC
rnacentral:rRNA from 1 species